GCGUGCCCUACGGCUGCCGCCGCUACCUAGCGUCACCGCCGACGCCUCAAUUCCGCCCCACGCCCACCCCACCUACCCUCCCUCCCUCCCGCCCCUCGCCCCAGCACCACGCGGCACCCAAAACACCCCAGCCUCUAACGCGCGUCGCUGCCAUCGCCGUUACCGCCCUUCCUCGUCGCGACAUCGCGUUCCUGCUAUCUCCACCCGGCCUGCAAUUUUUGGCCAUUAGGUUUUGAGUAACACUGGGCAGAAAUGGAGAAUGUGCAGUAUGCCGAAGAACUCGUGAGGGAGUUUCUUGUCUUUAGGGGUUUCACGAACACGCUGCAAGCUUACGAGGCAGAAUUGUCCACCGAGAUCGGCAGGAACUUUGAAUGUUUCACUUCACCUGCGGACACGGUACUCUACACGGCGCUUCUUAAACUGGAGCAGUCAGUAUUACGAUAUUAUGUUGUCAAUGCCUUGAAGUCUGGAAGGCAAGAAAAAGUUGUUGAAUUCUUUAGCGCAAGCGGCAGUUAUCUGAUGCAAAAGCGUGAAGAUUGGAUAGCAUGGUUUGCUAUACCAUAUAUUAAGAACCCAAGCUUGGAUCCACAGUUCCGUAUGUAUUUUUCCAAAGAAUGGUCAGACACUUUGGUUCUUUCAUUUCGGAACUUCUUAAGUGGGAUAUUCAAUGGUACUCGAAUCCCAGCUCUUUUGAAGAUUAGCACUGAAAAGAACAUGAUCAAGUGCCUCAAGAGUGACAUAAAGCAACUGAAUAACAAAUUGUCAGAACUGCAAGCAUUGUUAGAGGUGAAGGAAGUUGAACUAUCUCUGCUGAGAAGGAGUGGUAAUAGUAUUGAUUCUGGACACAAGAAUUUACUCGAGAUUACUACAUUUGGUUCUUCCGUUGAUGGACAAGCUUUCUCAGGAGUCUACGAAGAAUCCUCAACUUCAAGUAUACAGGGUGUUGAUUCACAUACUUUGAGUUCAGUAAAAUCAAGAGAUGAGAAAUUGUGUGAUUCUUCUAGGAUGAGCAAUGCAGAAAAUGAGCAGAUUUUGGUGUCAGAGGAAGAUUUUCCUGAAGUGAAGGUGGAUUUUCAGGAAACAUUUUUAGGCCAUAACAGUUCCAUAAGUAGCUGUCGGUUUUCUGCUUCUGGAUCAAAUAUUGCCAGUUCUUCGACUGAUGGCACAGUGAGAAUCUGGACAUACGACUCAUCAACACCAUCAUCAAAAAAUGCAACUAUAUACUGUGGAGCUGAAGUCAGCGCACUUUCUUGGGAAUGCAGAUCUGACCGCUUGCUGCUCAUAGGCACAGCUAAUGGAGGCAUUAAAGCUUGGAAUGCUGAUGCAAAGAGAGUUGUUUGUGACCUCAGUACAUCCAAGGACUUCCCAAGUGUGCUUGAUUUGAAGUGUAGCCCUGUAGAUCCUGUGUUCGUCUCUGCAGCUGCAUCGAGACGGCAUGGGUCAACUAUAUUUGACAGAACAGGAUUUGCCUCCUUGACAGUAUGGCAUAUGAAAACAUGGAAGCCUCUGACAGUCCUCCCUCUUGGCGAGGAUCCACCUGCUAUUACUUCACUUUGCUUCAAUCACAAUGGGAAGAUCUUGGCAGCAUCUGCAACAGAUGGCAUGAUUCACAUGUUUGACAUGUCUGCUGGUCUACAAAUCACUGGAUGGCCUGCCCAUGAUUCCCCUGUCAGCUCAGUUCUUUUUGGGCCAGCUGAAACAAGCAUCUUCAGUUUAGGCUCAGAUGGAAAGAUAUUUGAGUGGAGCUUGCACAAUCAAGGUCAGAUUAUUUGGUCAAGAGAUUGCAGUAGGUUUUGCAACCCUGAGAGCUUUAACAAACGCAUGCAUGAGGUAGCGUUGGAUUCUAAUGGCAAGAGGCUUCUUGCUACGUCGGGUUUGGUUCGGGCUCCAAUAUACCAGGUGCAGGGCCAUGAGAGAGGGUUGAGGACACUUCCUCAUACUGCACCUAUAACAAGUGUGGACUGGCACCCCACGCGGCCAAUCUAUGUUACCGGUUCUGAAGACCACUCUGUCCGCGUCACAUCCAUUCUAUGAUAUUCUACGUUGAGCAGUUUGCCCUUGAGAUUUUGUUGAUUGUCCGAUGCAACCAGAGGUGCUGCUCCGUGGAGUGACCUCCAAGAGAUGAACCAGUUCCAUGGAUCCUCAUGAUAUUCCUGAUUAUCUCAUCCAGAUAGAUCCUAUUGCGUUGGAAAACUGGGUCAUGUUUGUGUUUGUAGACUUGGCGAGUCGGUGAAACUAUGUUGUAAAAACGGGUGAAAACAUAUGUGAUCUCUUUACAUGGUAGGGGCCUAGGAGCUUUACAGCAAGUUUCUCCCAUUCCCAUCAAAAGAAUUAGGGAUCAAUCCAUGCUUGGCACGAAUUUUCACGAGUGUGCUUAUCAUUUAUUAAAGAAAGAAGAGGGGGUAAAGAGCCCCAUCCACGAGUGGCUUACAUGU
rnacentral:rRNA from 1 species